rnacentral:lncRNA from 13 species
CCUCCUAAGCACCAUUUUCGGUGGGUGUGGUUGGCCAAUGCAGGGAAAUGACAUGAGUAAGGAAGGGUGUGACUGGGUCUCUUGUCCUGGUGUCUGUUAGAAUACCUUUGCCUUCUUUCGCGGUUGCCCUCUUUCUGCCUUUGAAGCAAGUCUUGGUUUGAAUGGAAAGCGUGGCCUCCGGAUGAAACACCUUGGACUCACUUUGAGCCUCUCUGAACCGGGCACCACCGCUUCCAGCAGAGAGACCUGAGGCGAGUUCUUGGAGAAAUGAGCCCUACCCCUCAACUCCUGAGGUUGCUGGGCAAACAAGGGAGAGAGGGAAUGCCCAGUUCCUCGCCCAGGACUUGGCAGGGACUUUCCCAAUUCAGAGACUUUUCUCUAUUCUAACACUAAGAAACAGAAGCGUGUAGAUUUAAUCUGCUACGAUUCUUUCCCCUAAAAGCUGGCGUCUGACAAGUAGAGGUCCUUGCUGUUAAGGAAAUAUGUGAAAUCCUCUGCAAGGGUUUGUGAAAUGGCUCUGGAAGAUAAAUGCUUAAAACAAGCCAAGUCCUGGCUCUUCCUGGUGCAAAGACCUUCAGAAGUGAGACGGAGAGGGACCUGAGAUGGGGCAAGGUGAAGAAAAGAGGCCAGUCCUUCCUCCGUCCGUCUGUCCCUGUGCUGCCCUGGGAGGUGCCGAGAGAUGGCACCUGCUGUAUGGAUUGUGAAAGUUACAUGAGAUGAUUGCUAUAAAGCGAGCAGCAGAGGGGCAGGCCUGUGGCAAGGACCGCGCAAGACAGCCGCAGGCCUCGCCUUCAAGCCCAGCGCCGCCACUCACAACCCACACCAGCUCUGGCAGGAGCCCCAGGCUCCUCACCCGUAGAAUGGAAGUAUUACCAUGAGUAGGUCCAUCACAGGGCUACUGGGAUGGCCAAGUGGGAAUCUGCGUAAAGCCCAAUCCUAGCCGAUCACUCCUCUCUUCUUGGCAGUGGCCACAAUCACUCCUUCUUUUACCCACUUUUGAAAAAAUCCAGGUGAAAUUCACAUAACAUGUAAUUUCCCAUUCUAAAGUGGAUAAUUCAGUGGCAUUUAGUACAUUCACAAUGUUGUGCAACCAUCACUUCUAUUUAGUUCCAAAACAUCACCCCCAAAGAAGACCACCUUACCCACUGAGCAGUUGCUCCCAUAACCCCCUCCCCCACGUCCCCUGGCCACCACCAGCUGACUUUGUUACUGUGAAUUUGCCUCUUCUGGACUUUUCAAAUGAAUGAAACCUUACCAUAUGUGAACUUUUGUGUCUGACUUCUUUCACUUAGCAAAACACUUUUGAGGCUCCUCUGUGACAUGGUUUGGAUAUCUGCCCCCUUCCCAUCUCAUGUUGACAUGUGACCUCCAUUGUUGGAGGUGGGCCCAGGGGGAGAUAGCUGCAUCAUAGGGGCGGAUCCC